GGCCCUGUAGCUCAGCGGUCAGAGCGGGCGACUCAUAAUCGUCUGGUCCCGGGUUCGAAUCCCGGCGGGGCCA
rnacentral:tRNA from 1 species